GCUGCUCUGUUCUAUGGAUGGCCAUCCCAGUAGGAUGUUAAGUGAUUUUAGAAGUAUCUUUAAAGUAUCAGCCAUGUUGCUCUGGACACUCCAGCCACGCAGGAGUUUUGGAAUUCCUUCAAUCUACCUUUCUGUUGCAGAGCUGUUUCAUGCCUCUGGUUGACUCUUCCUCACAAACUAGACCUUCCUAAUCCCUAUUCACCCUUCAGGUUUAAAGUGACCGUAUCCUACUCUCAGGUUAGACACCCUUUUCUAUCAUUCCCAGAAGACACUGAAUUUCCCAUUGAUCCUACUUAUUAGGAUACAAACUACUAGUUGGUUGUCAGUCACACAACCAGCUCUUAGAAAACAAUGUAGUAUGUCUAUCUUUCUGACUGAAUGCUUAGCCCUUAGUCCAGUGGCCAUUACACAGCUGGAAAUCAAUCAAUGUUGAGAGAAGGUAAAGAUAAAUGAACACAUGGUUCAAGCUUCACAACAUCUGGCUGUGACUUUGAAAUUGGCACUUGGUUUCCCACCAUCCUUUGGAGAUCUUCACUCUUCAGAAGUAAUAUCCCUGAGGCCUACAAAGCAUCUUGGGUGAGAUACAUCCCUCUGAAAUGUCUCCUGAGCCAUGCAGAAGCCCAAUUGCUACAGCAUCAUGGACAGAAACCAUCUUGGAGGCUACAGGACUCAGGUGACAAGAACAGGCUCAAGAUCAAUGGUCCUGAGCAAUGUUUGAAAGCACCCAGAAGAACACCGAUGAAAGCCUUUUUUUUUUUUUUUUUCAUUUUUCUAUCACAUGUAGGGAACAACUGUUUUUGAUAGUCUAGCAGGUUUUUAAGAACCCUGUGAACCUCACACUAAUCCUCUGUUACAAAUAUCUGCAGGGAAGUAUCUUCAAUUUUAAUUCAAAACCCUAGUAAAUCAAUGGAGGGAUUGGAGAGACACUCAAAUCAGGUGGAGACCUAGGGACAACAGAGCCUCCAGCAAGGAGACCCUAGCAAUGGGAAAGACAAGAGUUCUCUGGCCUUGGAAAGUCUCAUCCCCUAGCCCCCAGCAUUCCCAUGCUCUCAUCUAUAAACAAUGUGUGCAUGUUGAGUUAGGACAGGGAUGGGGGCUAUGAAUUCUAAAAGAUGUUUGAGAUUCUUUCUUAAACUCAUAUUCAACAAUCUGCUACUCUUUCUAUGAAUGGGAUCAAACUGAAUCGUGGCGAGUGAGUUGUCUGAGCAAAUGCACUUUGUUUCUGUUGUUUUCUCUUGUACACCAGAAAAAAAAAAUGUAAUGGUUUAAAAUGCAGCAAGCUAAACAAUUAAGGGCUCUCAAAAAAAAAAAAAAA